AGGUUAAGUUACAAAGGGCGCACGGUGGAUGCCUUGGCACUAGGAGCCGAUGAAGGACGGAACUAAUACCGAUAUGCUUCGGGGAGCUAUAAGUAAGCUUUGAUCCGGAGAUUUCCGAAUGGGGGAACCCAGUACACAUCAGUGUAUUGCUUGUCAGUGAAUACAUAGCUGGCCGGCGGCAGACGCGGGGAACUGAAACAUCUCAGUACCCGCAGGAAGAGAAAGAAAACUCGAUUCCCAUAGUAGCGGCGAGCGAAGUGGGAAGAGCCCAAACCGAGAAGCUUGCUUCUCGGGGUUGUAGGACUGGACAUUGGAGUUACCAAAGUCCGACGUAGUCGAAGUCAGCUGGAAAGCUGCGCCACAGAAGGUGAAAGCCCUGUAAGCGAAACGUCGAACCCUCCGUCCAGGAUCCUGAGUACGGCGGAACACGUGAAAUUCCGUCGGAAUCCGGGAGGACCAUCUCCCAAGGCUAAAUACUCCCUAGUGACCGAUAGUGAACCAGUACCGUGAGGGAAAGGUGAAAAGCACCCCGGAAGGGGAGUGAAACAGUUCCUGAAACCGUGUGCCUACAAUUAGUCAAAGCCCGUUAAUGGGUAAUGGCGUGCCUUUUGUAGAAUGAACCGGCGAGUUACGUUUGCUUGCGAGGUUAAGAUGAAAAGUCGGAGCCGUAGCGAAAGCGAGUCUGAACAGGGCGAAUGAGUAAGCAGAUGUAGACCCGAAACCAAGUGACCUACCCAUGACCAGGUUGAAGGUGUGGUGAAACACACUGGAGGACCGAACCCAUGUAUGUUGAAAAAUGCUGGGAUGAGUUGUGGGUAGCGGUGAAAUUCCAAACGAACUUGGAGAUAGCUGGUUCUCUCCGAAAUAGCUUUAGGGUUAGCCUCGGAGGAUGGAUCAUGGAGGUAGAGCACUGUUUGAACUAGGGGCCCAUCAAGGGUUACUGAAUUCAGAUAAACUCCGAAUACCAUCGAUCUUACUCCGGGAGUCAGACAGUGAGCGAUAAGGUCCAUUGUCGAAAGGGGAACAGCCCAGAUCACCAGUUAAGGUCCCUAAAUUUAUGCUAAGUGGAAAAGGAUGUGGCGUUGCACAGACAACUAGGAUGUUGGCUCAGAAGCAGCCACCAUUUAAAGAGUGCGUAAUAGCUCACUAGUCGAGUGGCACUGCGCCGAAAAUAUACCGGGGCUAAGCAUAAUACCGAAACUGUGGGUGCACCCGUAAGGGUGCGCGGUAGGAGAGCGUUCUAAGGGCGUUGAAGGUCGAUCGUGAGGACGGCUGGAGCGCUUAGAAGUGAGAAUGCCGGCAUGAGUAGCGAAAGAUCAGUGAGAAUCUGAUCCACCGUAUGACUAAGGUUUCCUGGGGAAGGCUCGUCCUCCCAGGGUUAGUCGGGAUCUAAGGCGAGGCCGAGAGGCGUAGUCGAUGACAAGCAGGUUGAGAUUCCUGCACUAGUUUAUUUUGUUUAAGCGAUGGAGGGACGCAGGAGGCUAAGGAAAGCGCACGGCUGGAAAUGUGCGCCCAAGCAACAAGUCUGACAGCGAGUGAAAUGCUUGCAGUCUUAAGGACAAGCUGUGAUGGGGAGCGAAAUUAUAGUAGCGAAGUUCCUGAUGUCACACUGCCAAGAAAAGCUUCUAGUGAGAAAUAAACUACCCGUACCGCAAACCGACACAGGUAGUCGAGGAGAGUAUCCUCAGGUGAGCGAGCGAACUCUCGUUAAGGAACUCGGCAAAAUGACCCCGUAACUUCGGAAGAAGGGGUGCUGACCGCAAGGUCAGCCGCAGUGAAUAGGCCCAAACAACUGUUUAUCAAAAACACAGGUCUCUGCUAAAUCGUAAGAUGAUGUAUAGGGGCUGACGCCUGCCCGGUGCUGGAAGGUUAAGAGGAUGAGUUAGCGCAAGCGAAGCCCAGAAUUGAAGCCCCAGUAAACGGCGGCCGUAACUAUAACGGUCCUAAGGUAGCGAAAUUCCUUGUCGGGUAAGUUCCGACCCGCACGAAAGGCGUAAUGAUUUGGGCACUGUCUCAACGAGAGACUCGGUGAAAUUAUAGUACCCGUGAAGAUGCGGGUUACCCGCGACAGGACGGAAAGACCCCAUGGAGCUUUACUGUAGCUUGAUAUUGAGUGUUUGUACCGCUUGUACAGGAUAGGUAGGAGCCGUAGAGAUCGGAACGCUAGUUUCGAUGGAGGCGUUGGUGGGAUACUACCCUAGCUGUAUGAACACUCUAACCCGCGCCACUAAUCGUGGCGGGAGACAGUGUCAGGUAGGCAGUUUGACUGGGGCGGUCGCCUCCUAAAAUGUAACGGAGGCGCCCAAAGGUUCCCUCAGAAUGGUUGGAAAUCAUUCGCAGAGUGUAAAGGUAUAAGGGAGCUUGACUGCGAGACUGACAAGUCGAGCAGGGACGAAAGUCGGGCUUAGUGAUCCGGUGGUUCCGUAUGGAAGGGCCAUCGCUCAACGGAUAAAAGCUACCCUGGGGAUAACAGGCUUAUCUCCCCAAGAGUCCACAUCGACGGGGAGGUUUGGCACCUCGAUGUCGGCUCAUCGCAUCCUGGGGCUGUAGUCGGUCCCAAGGGUUGGGCUGUUCGCCCAUUAAAGCGGUACGCGAGCUGGGUUCAGAACGUCGUGAGACAGUUCGGUCCCUAUCCGUCGCGGGCGCAGGAAAUUUGAGAGGAGCUGUCCUUAGUACGAGAGGACCGGGAUGGACGUUCCGCUGGUGUACCAGUUGUGCCGCCAGGCGCAUCGCUGGGUAGCUAUGAACGGCAGGGAUAAACGCUGAAAGCAUCUAAGUGUGAAGCCCCCUCGAGAUGAGAUUUCCCAUUCCUAUAUGGAAGUAAGACCCCUGAGAGAUGAUCAGGUAGAUAGGCUGGAAGUGGAAGUGCAGCGAUGCAUGGAGCGGACCAGUACUAAUCGGUCGAGGACUUAACCAAG
rnacentral:rRNA from 2 species